AGGAAGAAGGAAAAUUCGUUUAGUUGUCUAAAGUGUAAGGAUUCAGACCGUAACCUCCAAGCUAAUCCAGCCAUCUAGACUCUCUCAGGUCAGCUGGA
rnacentral:lncRNA from 1 species